UCUUCAGGUUGAAGAAGAAAGAGUUCAGUCUGGAGGAGAUCUACACCAACAAGAACUACAAAUCCCCCUCAACCAACAGGAGUCUGGAGACGAUCUUCGAGGAGCCGCGGGAGAAGGACGGAGCGCUGCUGCUGAUUGGCCAGCAGAGGAGGCGCAGGCUUCUCCUCUUUCCUGAUUACACUCAGCCCCGGAAGAGGAAGAGGCAGCAAGGGGCGGGACUUCCUGUUGCCUUGGUGCCCAGGAAGCGGCUGGCAGCUCGUCGUCAUGGUAACGGCGGAGACGAGGAGGCGGAGUCUGACGUGAAGCUGGUUCAGCGACUGAGCGCGCUCGAAGACUUCCUGACACAACAGGGCCUGGAGGUGUGACAUCACUUCCUCUCAGCACACAAAGCUGCUAGCACGCUGCUAACGCUAAAUUACCAUGGAGACAACGCUGCGUUACCAUGGAGACGUCGCUAUGUUACCAUGGAGACGCCGCUACGUUACCAUGGAGACACUGCUGCGUUGCCGUGGAGACAACGCUACGUUAACAUGGAGACACUGCUGCGUUGCCGUGGAGACGCCGCUACGUUGCUGUGGAGACACGGCUGCGUUACCGUGGAGACAAUGCUGCGUUACCGUGGAGACACUGCUACGUUACAUUGGAGACACUGCUGCGUUGCCGUAGAAACGCUGUUUGACAGGUUUUUUUGGACAAUUUAAUAUUUUUAAAAUGUGAAAUAUUUAAUAUUUGUAAAGUUUCUGACCUGAAGCUCAGCGUCAGAUCAUCAUAAACAUCAUGAGAGAUAUUAUUAAUAAUAAAGGUC